UACGGGGGGGGCAAGCGUUGUUCGGAAUUACUGGGCGUAAAGGGCUGGUAGGCGGCCAACUAAGUCGGAUGUGAAAUCCCCAGGCUCAACCUGGGAACUGCAUCCGAUACUGGAUGGCUUGAAUUCGGGAGAGGGAUGCAGAAUUCCAGGUGUAGCGGUGAAAUGCGUAGAUAUCUGGAGGAAUACCGGUGGCGAAGGCGGCAUCCUGGACCGACAUUGACGCUGAACAGCGAAAGCUAGGGGAGCAAACGGG
rnacentral:rRNA from 1 species